rnacentral:rRNA from 1 species
GUGCCAGCAGCCGCGGUAAUACGUAGGGUGCAAGCGUUGUCCGGAUUUACUGGGCGUAAAGGGCGCGCAGGCGGCCUGAUAAGUCACUCGUGAAAUUUCCCGGCUAAACUGGGAAGGGUCGAGUGAUACUGUCAAGCUAGAGAGCAGCAGAGGAUAGUAGAAUUCCCGGUGUAGUGGUGAAAUGCGUAGAUAUCGGGAGGAAUACCAGUGGCGAAAGCGGCUAUCUGGGCUGUGUCUGACGCUGAGGCGCGAAGGCUAGGGGAGCAAACAGGAUUAGAUACCCUUGUAGUCC